CGUAGGGUGCAAGCGUUGUCCGGAAUUAUUGGGCGUAAAGGGCUCGUAGGCGGUCUGUCGCGUCGGCUGUGAAAACUCGGGGCUCAACCCCGAGCCUGCAGUCGAUACGGGCAGACUAGAGUGUUGUAGGGGAGACUGGAAUUCCUGGUGUAGCGGUGAAAUGCGCAGAUAUCAGGAGGAACACCGGUGGCGAAGGCGGGCCUCUGGGCAGUAACUGACGCUGAGGAGCGAAAAGCGUGGGGGAGCGAAACAGGAUU
rnacentral:rRNA from 1 species